CCUACGGGCGGCAGCAGUAGGGAAUCUUUCACAAUGGGCGAAAGCCUGAUGGAGCAACGCCGCGUGCAGGAUGAAGGCCUUCGGGUUGUAAACUGCUUUUAUAAGCGAGAAAUAUGAUGGUAACUUAUGAAUAAGGAUCGGCUAACUACGUGCCAGCAGCCGCGGUCAUACGUAGGAUCCGAGCAUUAUCCGGAGUGACUGGGUGUAAAGAGUUGCGUAGGUGGCAUAAUAAGUAGCUAUUGAAAUCUGGUGGCUCAACCAUUCAGACUAUUAGCUAAACUGUUAAGCUCGAGACCGUUAGGGGUAACUGGAAUUUCUAGUGUAGGAGUGAAAUCCGUAGAUAUUAGAAGGAACACCAAUAGCGUAGGCAGGUUGCUGGGACGGUUCUGACACUAAGGCACGAAAGCGUAGGGAGCAAACGGGAUUAGAUACCCCUGUAGUC
rnacentral:rRNA from 1 species